UGCCAUAAAUGGAGAAAGGGCCUCAUG
rnacentral:piRNA from 1 species